rnacentral:rRNA from 1 species
CCUACGGGAGGCAGCAGUGAGGAAUAUUGGUCAAUGGACGGAAGUCUGAACCAGCCAUGCCGCGUGCAGGAAGAAGGUACUAUGAGUUGUAAACUGCUUUUGUACAAGGGUAAACCUGAAGACGUGUAUUCAGCUGACAGUACCGUACGAAUAAGGAUCGGCUAACUCCGUGCCAGCAGCCGCGGUAAUACGGAGGAUUCAAGCGUUAUCCGGAUUUAUUGGGUUUAAAGGGUGCGUAGGCGGAUUGGUAAGUUAGGGGUGAAAGGUCCGAGCUUAACUCGGGGACUGCCUCUAAUACUGGUGGUCUAGAGUGUGAGUGCGGUAGGCGGAAUGUAUGGUGUAGCGGUGAAAUGCAUAGAUAUCAUGCAGAACACCGAUUGCGAAGGCAGCUUACC